UUCGGCCAUACCGGCUGUGGGACCGCGAGGGGUAUGGUCCUUGUGGAGGGUGGCGGCUCGCCGAAACGAGUGGGUUCAAGUCCCACCGGCGGAAA
rnacentral:tRNA from 1 species